rnacentral:rRNA from 1 species
UACGAAGGUGGCAAGCGUUACUCGGAAUUACUAGGCGUAAAGGGCAGGUAGGUGGUUCGAUAAGUUUGUUGUGAAAGCUCCCGGCUUAACUGGGAGAGGUCAACAAAUACUGUCGGGCUUGAGUAUGGGAGAGGGUACUGGAAUUCCCGGUGUAGCGGUGAAAUGCGCAGAUAUCGGGAGGAACACCAAUGGCGAAAGCAGGUGCCUGGACCAUUACUGACACUAAGCUGCGAAAGCUAGGGGAGCAAACAGGAUUAGAUACCCUGGUAGUCCUAGCUGUAAACGAUGCACAUUAGGCGUGAGGGGUAUCGACCCCCUUCGUGCCGACGCAAACGCAUUAAAUGUGCCGCCUGGGGAGUACGGCCGCAAGGUUGAA